rnacentral:rRNA from 1 species
CCGCCCGUCACAUCAUGAAAGCCGGUUGUACCCGAAGUCACUGUGUUAACUGCAAAGAGACAGGCGCCGAAGGUAUGGCUGGUGAUUGGGAUG